GCCGGCUGGGAGGAGCCGCUGCCCUCCCGCCCCUCCGAACUCCAGCUCCAACUCCAGUGUGGCGGCUCCACCUGCCGUGCUCCGUGCACCAGGCCUCCGGUGUGCAGGGAGGUGCCCGGCCCCGCCCGGCCCGGGAGCCAACAACGCCAGGACCUGCCCGCGCGAGCGUGACCUGGGAGCGGAGCCUCCCCGCCGCGCAGGCGCGGUGUCCCUCACGGUAGCAGAGCGCCUGCAUGGAUCACAGGCCGGAAAUAAAGCCGCCGGCCAAUCAGGAGACUUCCUCAAACCGGAAGUUGAUGUGGUUGCCUUGGGGAUCGGACAGCCUGGCCCAGGAUACAAUCGACUUCGAUUAUGGAUGCUAGGAUUAGGUAGCAUCUAACUCUAUGAGACAGAAUCGCAUCAAGCUGAGCUGAACAGAGGAGGUCGGAGCUGCUGAGCCUGGAGCUGCUUGUGUCUGACAGAAUCCACCUUUCUUCAUACUUGAGCGAGCAGCAUCGAUGCUAACAGCAAAUGGCAUCUCCUCAUCUCAGCUUGUCCUUCAGGGGGACACACAGUAAAAUCACCCACAAAGAGCACACAAGGAGUCACCAGCCUGUAAAUCAGUCUCUGUUCCAGCUGUCUGCAUUCCCAAAGGCACUGGUCCUGAGCUUUGCCUGAGAUUACACUACGCUGAGCUCAAAGGUCAGUCUCUCCAGGGUCCUUUCUCUUCUUGGAGCUUAUGGGCUCUGGUAGGGCAGAAGCAGAAAGCACUUUGGCCUCCUUCAGGAUUAUUAAACGAUUCUCAUGUCACAGUUCAGAGAAAAGCACUUUGUACUCCAAGAUAAGAAUGGCAGUAUCAACCUCCUGGUUGUGUUUAAAACAAUAAAACCUUGAUCAUUGCUCAUAAACCUGGACUCUAUCAAGGGCAGGUCUGUGCGUUUUUCUGUACCUGCAUUCUCCGUUAUGAGGACUUGUGACUUUUAUCAUGAACAUGAUGACCACGGGUGCCUACAGUUCCUCUGUUUCUGACACAAGGCUGCAAAUUUACAGACCUUCACAGGUUUUUGCUUUUCCAUCAAAUUUAUUUUCAGUUAAGCCUUCUCAGGCACUCAUCAGGUGAACUGACCUUUCAGGAAUGCAUCCGCCUCUGAGUCAAGCCUGGAGAGGUGGCCCAGUGGGUGACAGAUUUUCCAUGCCAGCUUGGCUAGCUGAAUUCGAUCCAACAGAUGGAAAGAACUGACUUUUAAAGUGUUGCCCUUUGACCUCCACAUACGUGUAAAGCCAUGUACACACACACACAUAUGCACACACACAUGCACGCACACACGCCACAUGCACAAUUUUAAAAUAAAGCAAGGUUAAAA
rnacentral:lncRNA from 1 species